rnacentral:lncRNA from 1 species
AGGGACAGCAUCGUACUGGAGCUGGACCGCGAGAUGAGCAGAAGUGUGGAUGUGACCAAUACCACUUUCCUGCUCAUGGCUGCCUCCAUCUACUUCCAUGACCAGAACCCGGAUGCAGCCCUGCGCACCCUGCACCAGGGUGACGGCCUUGAGUGCACGGCCAUGACGAUUCAGAUCCUCCUCAAGCUGGACAGGCUGGACCUAGCCCGGAAGGAGCUGAAGCGGAUGCAGGAGCAAGAUGAGGACGCCACCCUCACCCAGCUGGCCACUGCCUGGGUUAACCUGGCCAUGGAGCUGGCAGACAAGUGCUCGCCCACACUGCUGCUGCUCAAUGGCCAGGCAGCCUGCCACUCGGCACAGGGCCGCUGGGAGACCGCGGAGGGCGUGCUUCAAGAGGCACUGGACAAGGACAGUGGCCACCCUGAGACCCUCAUCAACCUCAUUGUACUGUCACAGCACCUGGGCAAGCCCCCUGAGGUGACAAACCGAUACUUGUCACAGCUGAAGGAUGCACACAGGACCCACCCCUUCAUCAAGGAGUACCAGGCCAAGGAGAACGAUUUCGAUCGCCUGGCACUGCAGUACGCACCCAGCGCCUAAGGUGGAGAUGCCGUGGUGACCCCACUGUGUGCUGCAGGAUGCUGUCCUCUCUUCCUUGUCUGCCAAUAAAGUCUGCUCAUGGUC